UCCUGCAGACCAUAAAGAGUCAGGCUAGCAAAGCUGCUGUACCUCAGUAUGGUCCCUAGAAGGUGCCUCAGGCUGAGAUGUAUCAUAGGAGGUUUACUCCACUCCCUCCAACAGUGUUUUAUCAUCAAAAUCUAAGCACAGAGACAGUAAACUGCUCCAAGUCCAUUUACGCUUGAAGUAAAGUCCCAGGAUGCUAUGGCAAGGGCAUGGUGGGCACUGCCAGUUGAUGUAAAUGCACAGGCAUGGUGUGCUUGAGGAGCUCCUAUCUGAUCUUGCAUCCAGAGCUGUGAGGGGAGAGCAGCUAGCUGCUGAGCUCCAAGGUGAAGAAGACACAAAUAUUCAUUUAAAUGCUGAGAGUUAAGGCUGUUUCUUCUGGAGAAGAGAAGACUCUGGAGAGGCUUCAUAGUAGAGCACCUUGUUUCAUUCAGACACUGGCACCUCUGAAGGACUCCUCGCUAUUCCAACAUGGUUGAGAUAAAACACUGGACUUGCUGCCAUAAAGCAGGCUUUAUUUCAGCUCAAACAAGCUCCACAGUUGUAGCCCUUCUCACAACUCCCUGCCAUUGUCUGUGUCCUUCUUCAAUCUUUUUCUAGUGUGAACCCAGACUGGCCACAAGAGAUGGCCUGAAAGGGAUGGUCCUUUGCGAUUCCUUGAAAUACCAGGACCGGAGAGGUAGCAAUACGUUAUGCUUGAGCCUCAAGUGCUUCAGGGAACGUUUUGGACAUCUGUAUGUGUAGGGUCUGGCUUCAGAAAUGUUUGUAACUACUCUCAUUCUUAUGUUUCUUUGUCUUUAUUUAAUCAGUUUACUGGAUGAAUUAAUAUAAAAAAAAAAAAAUGCAGAUAGGCAAGAGGUUAACACAGAAGGAUGUCCUUUAUUCAUAUUGAACAGACCAGGCCAGAGAAAUGGAAGAGUAUUCUCAUUUAAAAUACUAUGAAUAUUUCUAAAUUUCAACAUACAAAUGGUAGAAAGUGACCGUAUAGUACACAGUUUAAUCUCUGAAAGAUCCAGAAUGACACCCUACAUUUCUGCACAAAUUUAAUGGCAAUGCUGACAUCACAGGCUUUCCAGUGUGGGUAUCCAGUGCUGGCACCAAGCAAUCUGUACCACCUGUCCCUUUUUGAACUCUUCCCUGACUUAAUGGCUUGGAAGGAUCAUCUCUGUUAUUAGAGAUAAAUAUCUGAACUAAUACUGUUAAUUGACACUGCUGGUGUCUUUGUCUCGCAUCUGCUGCCAUUGCAGUGUACCAAAAAUAGAUAAUUUUCUGAUUUGCUUGUCAUGUUAUUUGGACACUUUCAUACAACAUAUUUAAUAUUUCUAAGUGGCAGAGCAAAAAUCCCCAGACUGAGGGUAACAUGGGGUGCUUUAGGAAGUGUGUAAGUUCAAGAGUAAUGUGGAAAAGUAAUACUGUGUACCCAAGAGUGUGAUUGUAGCUCUGGCUGCUUUUUUCUCCUUUUCUCAGAUGGGAAAAGUUUUGGAGGGGGCUGUUUGAAAUGGUUUUGCUGCACAUCUUAA